rnacentral:rRNA from 1 species
AACGAACGCUGGCGGCAUGCCUAACACAUGCAAGUCGAACGAGAUCUUCGGGUCUAGUGGCGCACGGGUGCGUAACGCGUGGGAAUCUGCCCUUUGGUUCGGACUAACAGUUGGAAACGACUGCUAAUACCGGAUGAUGACGAAAGUCCAAAGAUUUAUCGCCAGAGGAUGAGCCCGCGUAGGAUUAGCUAGUGGGUGUGGUAAAGGCGCACCAAGGCGACGAUCCUUAGCUGGUCUGAGAGGAUGAUCAGCCACACUGGGAUUGGGACACGGCCCAGACUCCGUCGGGGGGCAGCAGUGGGGAAUAUUGGACAAGGGGCAAAGGCCUGAGCCAGCAAGGCCGCGUGAGUGAUGAAGGCCUUAGGGUUGUAAAGCUCUUUUACCCGGGAUGAUAAUGACAGUACCGGGAGAAUGAGCUCCGGCUAUCUCCGUGCCAGCCGCCGCCGUAAGAC